GUGUUCACGCAGCGGUAGUGUCUUCACCAGCAAGGUCAGUCCAAGGCAUGGUAUUUGCUCACUGAAAACUGUUCCCAGUAUCGUUCCCUCAUGACUAGAAAUACAGUCAGCACUGGCAAUUUUUGACCGCCUCUAAGGAGA
rnacentral:snRNA from 1 species